GGCCUAACACAUGCAAGUCGCACGGGCCCGCAAGGGUCAGUGGCGGACGGGUGCGUAACACGUGAGGAAUGUGUCCACGGGUGGGGGAUAGCCGGCCCAACGGCCGGGUAAUACCGCAUACGCUGUUCGAGAGGCAUCUCUUGGAUAGGAAAGCAGCAAUGCGCCGGUGGAGCACCUCGCGGCCUAUCAGCUAGUUGGUGAGGUAAUGGCUCACCAAGGCGACGACGGGUAGCUGGUCUGAGAGGAUGAUCAGCCACAUUGGGACUGAGACACGGCCCAGACUCCUACGGGAGGCAGCAGUGGGGAAUAUUGCGCAAUGGGCGAAAGCCUGACGCAGCGACGCCGCGUGUGGGAUGACGGCCUUCGGGUUGUAAACCACUGUCGCGAGGGACGAAAAAAAUGACGGUACCUCGAAAGGAAGCACCGGCUAACUCUGUGCCAGCAGCCGCG
rnacentral:rRNA from 1 species